UGUAUAUAUAAUAGUAUAUAGUCACACUAUUUAUUGUAGAUGUAUAUGUAAUAGUAUAUAGUCACACUAUUUAUUGCAGAUGUAUAUAUAAUAGUAUAUAGUCACACUAUUUAUUGUAGAUGUAUAUAUAAUAGUAUAUAGUCACACUAUUUAUUGUAGAUGUAUAUAUAAUAGUAUAUAGAAUAGAGAUGUAUAUGAAUUAAAAAUGAACUUCUGCAAUCAAUUGUUACUUUGUAUUCAUACUUUAUUUUGUACAUACAGAUACAAGAUCUUUAGAAGAAGUGUUUGAAAAAACCUGCACAGUUACGCCACCAUUAGAUAUCCCAAAAUAUGAUAUUAGAAAAAAAGGCCAGGCUAUUAUCAUAAAUAACCACACAUUCCACAAUACAAAGCACAAUAGAUAUGGCACAGAAAUUGACGGCAAGAAGUUGGAGCAAUUAUUUCAAAGAAAGGGAUUCAAAGUACAUGUGUUCAAUGACCUGACUGGCCAUCAAAUGUAUGGUGAAAUUCGAGACAUAAGUAUUCAAGACCACAGCAAAGCAGAUUGUAUCAUAGUGUGUAUUCUAUCACAUGGUGAUGAAGGCGUAGUGUGUGGGGUUGAUGGGAACCGUGUCAUUGUAAAGGAUCUCACCAGUCAUUUCAAUGCAAUUGCGUGUCCAAGUCUAAUGGGAAAACCUAAAUUAUUUUUCAUUCAGGCAUGUCAGGGGUCAUACAAAAUGGCAGCAGUUGCUGAUGCUCAAUAUGAUGCAGUGACUGAUGCUAAAUCUAGCAUUACAGCCAAUGAGGCUGAUUUUUGUAUUGGGUAUUC